rnacentral:lncRNA from 1 species
GUUUAGUUCAUCUGAACUGUAUUCCUCAAUAUCCAUCAGUGUCUCAGUGUAAUUUCUAUUCAGACGAACAGCAGAAAAAUACCAGACCUUCUUCCUGUCAGUUCUCACUCACUCUGUCUGAUCUGAUCACGUGGGUCGGACACAGUUAUAGCUCACUUAAACCGAUUAACAUUAUUUGCUACCAUCCUGUGAAAACAUCCACUAAAGUGCUGAUGUCUCCAAACUCUCUCCCAGCAACAGUGAAGAUACUGGGUAACAAACCAAAACUGACCAUCAGUCAUAAUGAGCAGAGAAAUGAAUUCACUCUGGAGUGUGAAAUAUGGCUGCAUCAGUCUCUCAGUGCUGAUAGUAGAUGUAAUUUCUACAUCGGAGAGAUCAGUGACUUGUGGAAAAUGUCUCAGAAGAGGGAAUCUGGCUCACUGGUUUGUAGUUUUACAGUACCUAAGACUCUUCUGUCCAAUUAUAUACAGAAAGCAAAGAGCACAGUAGUGAGCUGUGAUUAUUCACUAAUCUCUGAGCCAGCCGCCCACUCUCCCCUCAGUGACCUGUUCGACCUUAAAGUGAUGAGCCUGAGUGUUUCAGUUUCCUUUACCACCUCCUCUACCACCUCUGUCACCACGAACAUGCCAACAACUAUUCCCUCUACCACCUCCUCUACCACCUCCUCCAUCACCACCUCCAUCACCUCCUUCAUCACCACGACCAAGCCAACAGCUACUACUGCAUCCGCUGUUCCCACACUCCCCAGUAAAACGACAGCAGCCACUCUAAUAACCAAGUCCAGCCCUGACGAACCCAAACUGACCAGAAGAGAAUGGCUGGUCCUGGUUCUCUCAGUGACCAGUGCUGGUGUUAUACUGGGGGUAAUGGUCACCUGUAUCUGUGGGUUUUACAAUAAGCACCGAACUGGGAGAAAUAAGGUCAGCUCGAGUGGUGGAGCUCAGGGAGACAUGACAGCCAUGAAACGUUUUCCAGACUUUACCUACUCACUGAUUACCAGAGGGCCCACCCCUGCUCAGCCCUCAGACUGUAAUGAUGAUGCAGAAAACCGCUCCAAUAAUACACAGGAUAAUGAUUUGUAUCACACGUACUGCAGCAUCACAGACCCAGUGGAGCUAUAAAGCUACAGUCUGCUGCAGAUCAGAAUCAGCUUUACUGUGUAUUUAAUAAUUACAUCAAUUAAUUCAAACAUUACAGCAUCUACUGUAAAAAAACACAAGCUUUUCUAUUUCAGAGUAUGGAGCAUUUUCUGUGUAUAUGUUUUCUUUGGAAAGUCGUAUUAAAAUGAAAAUGAUAGAUGGUUUACGCAAUUGUGGAAAUCUGUAUGGGGGGAUUACAUACAUUAUAUUUUAAAAUUAGUUUUCAGAUAAAAUUAAUCACAAACAUAAAAAGAUUUCUUUGAUUUCUUUGAUUUCUGUAAAUAAAGUUUAAAACUGCAAAAAUAUGCA